AGGGACGUAGCUCAACUGGUAGAGCCGCGGUCUCCAAAACCGCAGGUUAGAGGUUCAAGCCCUCUCGUCCCUGCCA
rnacentral:tRNA from 1 species